UACAGAGGUCCCAAGCGUUGUUCGGAUUCACUGGGCGUAAAGGGUGCGAUAGGUGGUCAGGUAAGUCUGAUGUGAAAUCUCUGGGCUCAACCCCAGAAACUGCAUUGGAUACUAUCUGGCUGAGAGGAGUGGAGGGGGGACUGGAAUGACUUGGUGUAGCAGAUGAAAUGCGUAGAUAUCAAGUGGAACACCAGUGGCGAAGGCGAGUCCCUGGACACUUCCUGACACUGAGGCACGAAAGCUAGGGGAGCAAACGGG
rnacentral:rRNA from 1 species